rnacentral:rRNA from 1 species
GAUGAACGCUGGCGGCGUGCCUAAUACAUGCAAGUCGAGCGAACAGACGAGAGUGCUUGCACUCUCUGACGUUAGCGGCGGACGGGUGAGUAACACGUGGGUAACCUACCUAUAAGACUGGGAUAACUUCGGGAGACCGGAGCUAAUACCGGAUAAUAUUUAGCUUCGCAUGAAGCAAUAGUGAAAGACGGUUCUGCUGUCACUUAUAGAUGGACCCGCGGUGUAUUAGCUAGUUGGUGAGGUAACGGCUCACCAAGGCAACGAUACAUAGCCGACCUGAGAGGGUGAUCGGCCACACUGGGACUGAGACACGGCCCAGACUCCUACGGGAGGCAGCAGUAGGGAAUCUUCCGCAAUGGACGAAAGUCUGACGGAGCAAUGCCGCGUGAGUGAAGAAGGUUUUCGGAUCGUAAAACUCUGUUGUAAGGGAAGAACAAGUACGUUAGUAACUGAACGUACCUUGACGGUACCUUACCAGAAAGCCACGGCUAACUACGUG